GAUGAAGAACGUAGCAAAAUGCGAUAAGUAAUGUGAAUUGCAGAAUUCAGUGAAUCAUCGAAUCUUUGAACGCACAUUGCGCCCGCCAGUAUUCUGGCGGGCAUGCCUGUUCGAGCGUCAUUUCAACCCUCAAGCACAGCUUGGUGUUGGGACUCGCGUUAAUUCGCGUUCCCCAAAUUGAUUGGCGGUCACGUCGAGCUUCCAUAGCGUAGUAGUAAAACCCUCGUUACUGGUAAUCGUCGCGGCCACGCCGUUAAACCCCAACUUCUGAAUGUUGACCUCGGAUCAGGUAGGAAUACCCGCUGAACUUAAGCAUAUCAAUAAGCGGAGG
rnacentral:misc_RNA from 1 species